GACCAUAUAGGGCCACUGAGUAUGUCAACACCAAUAGUAUUUAUUACAAACUCAUAAGCCUGAGUAAUUGUAGAACGAGAUUGUCCUUCACCAUCUGGAUUUAUUCGACGAAUGUAACUUAAGUACAACGUCCAUAAAUCAACCGAUAAAACCUUGACAAGGCAUCGACUAAAUAACAAUUCAACGGCAUGGAAAUCGUUAAAGGCAAGCUCAGAACUAAUGUAAUCAACCCAAACUCGUGGAACGUAAGGAAAAGGUCGCAACAUUUGUUCAUAAGUUUCUCUUAACUCUUCGUGCUUCCCCUUAGAUCCAUACUCUUCUACCAGUGCAUACCAAGAAGAAAUAUCGUUAGGGUUCUCUUGUAUUUUAUCCCGUAAUUGUCCUACAAGGUCAUUUGGGAGACGUUUUCGUUUUACACCACUACUGGCAGUCGUCGAAGUUGCUAAUACAUCACUCUCAUUAACUGUUGAGGUAUUUUCUUGUUCUUUAAUUUUUGGAGAAUCUUUUAUAAUAUUCGAGCUAGCAUCGGCUUCGACAUUGUCAUCAGAAUUCAUAAUUUAAGUAUUCGCUGGUAGAAUUCACACAGCUUUCUCGCAUUUGAUACAUACAGAAAUUGUUACUUCAGUAACAUUGAGGUAACAUUCAAUACUUUUAAUCAACUUGCAAGCUUCAUAAUGCUGGUUAUAAAGGAAAUUUGUCUACAUUUGGGAGAAACUU